rnacentral:rRNA from 1 species
GAAUCCNGCCUAGCAGAAUGACCAGAGAA